rnacentral:rRNA from 1 species
UACGUAGGGGGCAAGCGUUGUCCGGAUUUAUUGGGCGUAAAGAGCGUGUAGGCGGCCUGAAAGGUCAGCUGUGAAAACUCGAGGCUCAACCUCGAGACGUCGGUUGAAACCAUCUGGCUAGAGUCCGGAAGAGGAGUGUGGAAUUCCUGGUGUAGCGGUGAAAUGCGCAGAUAUCAGGAGGAACACCGAUGGCGAAGGCAGGUCUCUGGGCAUUAACUGACGCUGAGGAGCGAAAGCAUGGGGAGCGAACAGG